CCGCCGCGGUAACACGUAGGAGGCGAGCGUUAUCCGGAUUUAUUGGGCGUAGAGCGCAUGCAGGUGGCUAGGUAAGUCGGGUGUGAAAGCCCCGGACUUAAUCCGGGGAGGUCAUUCGAUACUGCUUGGCUUGAGAGCGGGAGAGGGAAGUGGAAUUCUCGGUGUAGUGGUGAUAUGCGUAGAUAUCGAGAGGAACACCAGUGGCGAAGGCGGCUUCCUGGCCCGUAUCUGACACUAAGAUGCGAAAGCGUGGGUAGCAAACGGACUUAGAUACUCCGGUAGUCCACGCUGUAAACGAUGGGUACUAGGUGUAGGGGGUGUAAAACUCUCUGUGCCAUAGUUAACGCACUAAGUACCCCGCCUGGGGACUACGGUCGCAAGGCUAAAACUCAAAGGAAUUGACGGGGGCCCGCACAAGCAGCGGAGCGUGUGGUUCAAUUCGAAGAUACACGAAGAACCUUACCUGGGCUUGACAUGUUGGUAGUAGUGAAGCGAAAGCGGAACGAUCCUUCGGGAAGCCAUCACAGGUGCUGCAUGGCUGUCGUCAGCUCGUGCCGUGAGGUGUUGGGUUAAGUCCUGUAACGAGCGCAACCCUCGCUGCCAGUUACAAGUGUCUGGCGGGACUGCCGGUGACAAACCGGAGGAAGGUGGGGAUGACGUCAAGUCAGCAUGGCCUUUAUGUCCAGGGCUACACACACGCUACAAUGGCCGGUACAAUAGGUUGCCAAGUCGUGAGGCGGAGCUAAUCCUCAAAACCGGUCUCAGUUCGAAUUGCAGGCUGCAACCCGCCUGCAUGAAGUUGGAGUUGCUAGUAAACGCGCGUCAGCAAUAGUGCGUUGAAUACGUUCCCGGGCCUUGUA
rnacentral:rRNA from 1 species